UAGUCCACGCCGUAAACGAUGGAUACUCGGUGCUGCCGGACUUGUCUGGCAGUGCCCAAGCUAACGCAUUAAGUAUCCCACCUGGGGAGUACGAUCGCAAGAUUGAAACUCAAAGGAAUUGACGGGGGCCCGCACAAGCGGUGGAGCAUGUGGCUUAAUUCGAUGCAACGCGAGGAACCUUACCUGGGCUCGAAUGCUACCGGACAAGCUCUGAAAGGAGCCUUCCUUCGGGUCGGUAGUAAGGUGCUGCAUGGCUGUCGUCAGCUCGUGUUGUGAAAUGUUGGGUUAAGUCCCGCAACCGAGCGCAACCCUUAUCCUUGUUUGCCAGCGAGUAAUGUCGGGAACUCCAGGGAGACUGCCGGUGAUAAACCGGAGGAAGGUGGGGACGACGUCAAGUCAUCAUGGCCCUUACGAGUAGGGGCGUACACACGUGCUACAAUGGCGCAUACAGAGGGCAGGCCAACUCGCGAGAGUGAGCGAAUCCCAAAAAGCUGUCUCAGUUCGGA
rnacentral:rRNA from 1 species